AAGAAGAGGAGGAGGAAGAGGUUAUCCAGUUUACUCGUGAUGAGCUUCUGGAUUUGAGAGUCUCAGCUGCUGAUCUAUUCCUGCAUUCAGCUGAAUUAUGAAGGCUGAUCAAUGACUGGAGAUCUGUGAUUGUUCAUCAGUUUCUUCUAGAGUUUCUGCUGGAGAUCAAACUCUUCAGGUCCAUCAUGGAGGACACACACACAGAUCAGGAUUUGUCUACAGGAUGCAGUUCAGUUCAUCAGAAGAGAGCAGAAGCAGAGCCCAGCUGUGUGACUAUGAAGAGUGACUGGUCUAUGGAUCACCCAAUAAAAUUUAAGAGUGAAAACACACGACCUGCUGUCAGGUAGAUCAUCUCUUUAAUAUCU